rnacentral:lncRNA from 1 species
CAGCACCUGCGGCCCCAUCUCCUCCAAGUUCUGAACUGCACAGGCAUCUUCUGAGGUCGAGGGAGGGAGACCGUUGGACCAUGGGGGCGGUUUCUCCCAUGCUGUGGUCAUUGAGUUCUCAGGAAAUCUGAUGGUUUUGUAAGUGUUUGGAAGUUCCUCCUUGCUCCACUCUCCUGCUGACUUGUGAAAAAUGUGCCUGCUUCCCCUUCCACCAUGACUGUAAGUUUCCUGAGGCCUCACCAGCCAUGCAGAACUGUAAGUCAAUUAAACCUCUUUCCUUUAUAAAUAACCCAGUCUCGAGUAGCAUCUUUAUAGCAGUGUGAAAGCAGACUAAUACAAUCCCUAUUUUAAG